AGUUUAACGAGGGGCUUUCCUCGCGUAACCUUCGCUUCUGCUUCCUCUCUCACAUCACCUCAACCUGCGAGACUCUGAAAGGGAUAAUGGGGGUUGGGGGGAAAUACGGAAAUUCAGGGAAGGGAGAAGGAGUGGUGUGAAGCUUUCCAGACCAGCCAGACAGAAAUAGCAUACCAAUAGUGGUUUAGAGCACAAACGCCGGAGCCAGAAUGUCAUGCGGAACGCCUUCUCAAGACUCUCCCAUUUUUUAUUUGUGAACACCCACUGGCAUUCCCGGAUAAGAAGCUUGCAAGAAGGUGUGAAUCCCCCUAUACUUGUGAGCCCCUGGGGCUCUGCACUCUUUCCAGCCCACAUUUGACUUCAGUCAAUUUUUAAAUGAUUCCAGCUAAAUUCUUACCGGUGCCCAGCUGUACCUGCCUUAGGUAAGCAAGCACUCAGGUGACAACUCUCCUAGAUUUCAAGCUAGUUGGAAGCUUAACCUCAGCUCUGUGAUGGGUUCAAAAAAACUGCGACCUUGCAAUUUGUCUGAUUUCUUUCUUGUUGCAAGGGACCAUCAUUGUUUCUAGUUCUCUGCAUCCCCAAGCAGAAACCAGAACUCUGUAUAAACAUUUUUAAAUGGAGGCAUUGAGAAAAAGUCCCUGAGAAACCAAUGAGAUCCAGGAAGAAUACUUCCAGCACUAACAUGAAUGGGGUUUGGCCAUACAGACAGAAGGGUUGGAAACUCUUACACCUUGAUUUAAACUCUCUAUGCAUAUUCUGAGCACACUGGGGAAUGUACUACUGCUAGGCUUGAUUUGGAUUCAUGGCUAUUACCUCCCAGAAAAAGAUUAGGUCUUCUGUUUUAGUACAUGAGAUAGUUCCUCAGUUAAUCUUAUUGUUGCUAUUUCUCUUAAGCAUAAACAAUGAUUUGGGUCAUGAAUUUUAAUGGGGUUUAAAUUCCUUUGUGCAUCCCAACAUGUAAUGAACUUGCUACUGCCAAGAUGGAUGCCAUGAAAAAAAGAGAUCUCAUCAAAACUGUCAUAGAGAGAUGGAGGGCCUCUGCGUAGAUGGCAGGAUGGUGGUGGCCAUGUAACUAGCUGCCCAGUGAGGAGCAGCCCUCGGGGAGAGCCCAGGUAGCACCAGGAGAAGCGGAAAUAGAGAAAAGGGAAAGAUUGAGGUGGAAAGAACAUGAGAGACAAGAGCUCUGCAUGGCCACAUCACCAGCAGUCUUGUUACAAUGAAGAUGAAGGGACUGAAAAGAGGGGAAGAGAUGGAAUUCAUUAAAGAACAGUGCUCAUUCAUACAAGGCAAGUAUACGUGUGGCCUUUUCUCUCUCUAUCUGAAGGCAUGGCUUACUGUAACAGGAACUAUCAUGGGCACUGGACGGCUCUCUCAUGGUGAUCCCAUCCUCCUCUACAUCCCAAACUUUUUUUUGAAUGCAUUUCUGUGUUUUGACUUCCUCUCUCCCCAAAGUUCUUCUUAACUUCUGAGUAUGACAUAGCUUCCUUAUUCUUUGACGUAUUUGAAACCCCUAACUUCCUCUCCUCUGUGGUGUAACUCACAUGGCUUCUUGAUACCGGGAGGUAUUGCCUGUGUACAACCUCAUAUUAUGAGGAUGAAAUGCCCAUGAAUCUUACCAAUCUGAGGAACAACCAGCAUUUGUCUUCUCUGACACAACACAGGUGCCACAUAUUCUGUAGGAAAAGGUGGUGUUGAGGUCAGAACUUCCCUGUCUUUCUGUCUCUCUCUCUGGUUCUGGAAAUGUUGAGAAUAUGAAUGAAGGGAAAGAUGGGCACCAUGUGGAGGCAAUUUCAUGGUGGCAUGAAACAAUUUUGGGGGCAUGAAUGCCAUGGGCAGGACAUCGGGGCCCCAAAAGGGAAAUACACAGUAGUUUCUUUGGACUUCAGUGCUCUCUUUUAUAGUAAUGGAAACCACAAGCGCAGAGGAAGGGGAGCUGAUUCUGUAAAAAGAUGUUUAUUCCUAUUUUAAAAGAUGAUUUUUUGACUAUCUUCCCACAAUAGAGCCAGAGGAUCACAGGGGAAAGCUAUGAUCCUCAACUACAGAAAAUGAUGUUGGGUGCAUCUAGCAUCACAGAAGCUUUAGAGGACACAGUCAUCUCAGGUACCUACAGAUAUGGAAGAAGUACCAAUGAGAGUACCUAUUCGUAUUUUUAUUCAUGGAAGCGAAUCGCUUCGGGAACCAAAUCAUUAGCUGCUGGUAGAAUGUUCUUUUGGCUCCUCUCUCUCCUUAGCUCUCAAAUACAGACUUUUUUCUGUGUGCCUCUGCUUUUGGCAACUCUGUUCCAAGCAUAAGACUAUUUGUUUGUAGAUGAGCUUGCUAGGUCAGGGAUCCCUUGUAUAGGGAGAUGGUGAAUCACUGAGCAGGACACAGAGGCAUGGGUUGAAACGGUGAGAUGUACCGUAGUUUAAAGAGAGGUCACAGGAGCUCACGACCAUUAUUAGAUAAACUCUAAAUUAGAAAAAAGAACCACGUUUCUUUUUUGAUAGUCACAUAAAAAUUGAAGCCAUACUCAUUCUAAUAAAAAGUAACAUGCCUAGCUCUUCAUUGCAAAGCUCAUCUAUUAUUCAUAACAGGCAUAUAGGGUCUAUAUCAUUUUUACAGAAGUGGAAAUAGCAUGCAAUUACUAAUUUAGUUUAUUCAUUAGUUUUCCAAAAGUGAAAAAAAGAAUUUUCCCUUUGACUUCCUACCUGGUAAUUUGAAAGAGAUAACUUUGUGACUAAAAAAAGAGUACUUCACAUCAUACACAAAUAAUUAAUGCAACUGAUUGACCCAAGCUAGUGAAUGUGAUAUUGUGAUAUAAUAGGAAGUAUAUAUUUGGUCUCUGACCCUGGUUCCUGCCCUUCAGCUCCUAAAACCCUUCGAAUCUCCAGAGUGAUAAGAGUGUCUUUUGCAUGCUAAUGAGGUGACUGGUGGCUGGGGCUCGUCACCAGAAAGACCAAGGCAGGAUUAGAGGGUUGGGAUUUUCAGCCCACUCACAAUCUCUGGGGAGAAGGGAGGGGCUGAAAGUUGAGUUGACUGCAAAUGGCCAAUGGUUUGAUCAACCCACCACGCUGACAUAACAAAGCCUCCAUUAAAACCCAAAAGGACAGAGUUUGAAGAAUUUCCAGAUAGCAGAACACAGAAAGAUGGCUGGAGGGUAGGCUCUUGAAGAAGGUGUGGAAGCUCCGCACUCUUUCCCCCAUACUUUGUCCUAUGUGUUUUGUUUUUCUUUAUCAAUCUGUUCGUCUGUAUCUUUUGUCUUAUCCUAUGUAAUAAACCAGUGUAUGUAA